rnacentral:rRNA from 1 species
UACGAAGGGGACUAGCGUUGUUCGGAUUUACUGGGCGUAAAGCGCGCGUAGGCGGAUCGCUAAGUCAGGGGUGAAAUCCCAGGGCUCAACCCUGGAACUGCCUUUGAUACUGACGAUCUGGAGAUCGGGAGAGGUUGGUGGAAUUCCGAGUGUAGAGGUGAAAUUCGUAGAUAUUCGGAGGAACACCAGAAGCGAAGGCGGCCAACUGGCCCG